rnacentral:rRNA from 1 species
GGCGUGUACUGCUUGGCUGGGCCUUACUUCUUGGUGAGCCGGCGUGCCCUUUAUUGGUGUGCGUUGGGGAACCAGGACUUUUACCUUGAGAAAAUUAGAGUGUUCAAAGCAGGCCUAUGCCUGAAUACAUUAGCAUGGAAUAAUAGAAUAGGACGUGCGGUUCUAUUUUGUUGGUUUCUAGAGUCACUGUAAUGAUUAAUAGGGACAGUUGGGGGCAUUGGUAUUGAGUCGCUAGAGGUGAAAUUCUUGGAUUGACUCAAGACCGACUAUUGCGAAAGCAUUUGCCAAGGAUGUUUUCAUUAAUCAAGAACGAAGGUUAGGGGAUCGAAAACGAUCAGAUACCGUUGUAGUCUUAACAGUAAACUAUGCCGACUAGGGAUUGGAUGACCUCAAAAUUGAUGUGUCAUUUGGCACCUUACGAGAAAUCAAAGUCUUUGGGUUCUGGGGGGAGUAUGGUUGCAAGGCUGAAACUUAAAGGAAUUGACAGAAGGGCACCACCAGGUGUGGAGCCUGCGGCUUAAUUUGACUCAACACGGGGAAACUCACCAGGUCCAGACAUAACUAGGAUUGACAGAUUGAUAGCUCUUUCAUGAUUUUAUGGGUGGUGGUGCAUGGCCAUUCUUAGUUGGUGGAGUGAUUUGUCUGGUUAAUUCCGAUAACGAACGAGACCUUAACCUGCUAAAUAGCCAGGCCGGCUUCGGCUGGUCUCUGGCUUCUUAGAGGGACUGUCAG